rnacentral:lncRNA from 1 species
GCCUACUUAUCCCGUUACAGCUCCUGGUGAGAAGGGCGAAGCCAUGUCAGAAAUAAUAGAAAAGGCUUUUUCCUUUGAAAUAUCUAAACGUUCAAAGAUGGGAACAGCCGCAGGGGGGAGAAUACUGUGCUAUGCAAGUUGAUCUGAUUUUGUGGACCAUCCAUUUCCAAUUGGGAAGCUCACUUACUUUCAACUUGAAGCAUCAGAAAACCAGACUUACAGCAGCUUCAGCCUAUAGGGGUUUAUUUUUCUCAUGUAACAAGAAGAACAGAAGUGGACAGAGGCCGAGUUCUCAAGGACUCAGUUUCUUUCUGUCCCACCAACCUUACCAUGUUGGAUUGUCAUCUUUGUGCUUGUUGCCUCAUGAUGGCAAGAUGGCUGCAGCACCUCUGGGACUCACGACUGAUUUUUAAGACUACAGAGCCUAAGUCAAAGCUUGUUCUUGGACCCAGGAAAUAUGUCAAAUCCUUCCAGUGAAUGUGGAUGCUCUGGUUCUGCCUAGGUGCCUUUCAGGAUUGGAGACUACUCCCCCAGUUGCUGAUGGUGUGGUCAGCCCUCAGUUUUCAGUCCUCUUUGGGAAUUGCCUUGGAUGAAGAAAGUCACCUCACCCAAGAUCACUCCAACUCCUGGGACCCACAUCCAAUGAUUGGCCAAUAUGGGGACUCAAAGGCCUGGUCCCCCUUCCCCAACUUGAGACUACUCUGAAGGAUCACCCAGCUUCAGAGCUUCCCAUGGUUGAGACUUUUAGACUUCACUGUGGUCCAACCAAUCUCUUCCUAUACACGGUCCUGACUCCUUCACUUCCCUCCCAGCACUUCUUCUGUGUUAAUAUCAAACUUCUGUGCUAAUAACAAACUUCUUCCGUGCUAAUAUCUCUCAGUGUCUCCUUCC